AUGAAUGGUAUCUUUUGGAAUUGCAGGGGAGCAGGCAAAAAAGGAAUGAGUGCCUGCUUCUCUGACAUGAUAAAAGAUCAUUCCCUAGAUUUCCUUUGUCUUCAAGAGACUAUGAAGAAGAAUUUCCUUCCUAAGAGUAUCAGGAAAAUAGACCCCGCGAAUCAAUUUGAUUGGAAUUGGAUUCCUUCGAUUGGAAAAGCGGGGGGAAUCCUCUGUGGUUUUAAGAAAGAAUCCUUAGAAGUUAUUUCGUGGACUCCUGGUAGGUUUUGUUUGCAGGCCAACCUUUACGAUAUUAAGCAUAAGAUUGUCUGGGCUCUCAUUACGGUGUAUGGAGCAGCCCAUGAUGAUAGUAAAGACGACUUCCUGGUUGAAUUAGCCGCGAUGUGUGCGUAUACACAGGUCCCAUACAUUGUGGGGGGGAUUUUAAUAUCCUCAGAGAAGCUGGUGAUAAAAAUAAACCCUUAA
rnacentral:rRNA from 1 species